rnacentral:rRNA from 1 species
AAGCGACUCUCGGCAACGGAUAUCUCGGCUCUCGCAUCGAUGAAGAACGUAGCGAAAUGCGAUACUUGGUGUGAAUUGCAGAAUCCCGUGAACCAUCGAGUCUUUGAACGCAAGUUGCGCCCCAAGCCUUCUGGCCGAGGGCACGUCUGCCUGGGUGUCACAA